AUGGACGUUACUUUUGAGGCUCGGAACGGCUCCUUCACCCUAGAGGUGUGGUACUUUGCGAUGGUGAAGCAGAUGAAGGAGAUGAUCUACAAGCGCUACCGCCACUUCCCGGUGAGGGCACAGCGGCUUGUCUUCCAGGGCAAGGAGCUUGAAGACGACCGCAAUACCGAGGGGUCACGCAUCCGUCUCGACCUGCCUGAAAGCUUGACCAUGGGGUUCCGGAGGUGCGACCGGAGCAGCAGCAGCGACAUCCUGCAUCGGCGUCACGCAGCUGUAGCAGGAUCACAUGCUAAUGGGCAUGACCGCGGCCUCGCCACGCGCGUGAAGGACGAACUGCCGGACUCACCGGAGCCGCCGCCGCCCGUGGAGCCUCGCGUUGUCCAGAGCAGAGAGGAGCAGUUCGUGUGGCCGUGGAAGGGCGUGCUGGCCAACGUGCCCACCGAACGGAGAGGCGGGCGGCAGAUCGGGGAGAGCGGGAACCGGCUCAAGGACAAGGUCGUGCCUUUGUGGAGCCAUAGAGGCCACACCGGGAACGCCAUCGUCGAGUUUGGGAAGGACUAUGCCUCUCUCGGCCACGCCUUCAGCUUCGAGAACCACUUCGAGGCGCAGGGCCACGGCAAACGGGGCUGAAAUCCACCAGAUGCAGCAACUAGCUCGCAGGCAUUGUCAGAUGAUCAUUUACGAGAGCUCAAAUCCAAGCAGCUUGAUGAGCUUCCUGUGCGUAGCGAAUCCGACAGAAGGAAUCUAGAGAAGGAGAAGGAAAAGAACAUGAUCAAAGCAAAAUAUCUCAAGAUGGCAACAUUGGAGCAACAGAAGGCCGACGAAAAUGUCCUGAAGCUUGUGGAAAAACACAAGAAGCUUGAGUUGAAAAUAAAACAGCUGCAGGGAAAAUUGAAUGUCAUGAAGUAUAUGCGAGGUGAGGAAGACUUUGAAUCAAAGAUGAAAAUUGAUGAACUUAGCGAGGAGCUGCAGGAGAAGUAUGAUGAAAUAAAUGAGAUGGAAUCACUCCAUGGAGCUCUGCUUAUGAAGGAAAGGAUGAGCAAUGAUGAGUUGCAAGAAGCUCGGAAGAAGCUAAUAGAUGGCUUGUUGGAUGUCACAACUGGCCGAGCAAAUGUAGGCAUAAAAAGAAUGGGUGAUCUGAUCUGA
rnacentral:rRNA from 1 species